rnacentral:lncRNA from 1 species
CUGGAAUCCUGGAACUCCACACAAAGGCACCUGUUGUCCUGACAACCCCUGAGGCGUAGGGGAGAAGCAGUGGGGAGGCCCUUCCAUUUUUCUAUCAUGUGUCUGUCAGGAGGGGAACAAGAUUACGAAAUUGUGAGCAAAUACAGGCACGAGAAACCCCAUGGAAGCACAUGGAAAUUGGAAAUGGGAUGAAUAAGACAUGGUUGCUGACUCAGUCUUACUGCGUGAUCAUGGACUAAUCACUUCACUGAGACUUGGCUUAUCUCAUUGGUAAAGUGAAAACUAUAGUUCUUCCUGAUAGGAAUGUUGUCAGGACCAAAUGAGAUAAUAGUUGAAAAA